rnacentral:tRNA from 1 species
GUCCCCUUCGUCUAGAGGCCCAGACACCGCCCCUUCACGGCGGUAACAGGGUUCGAAUCCCCAGGGGACGCCA